UCUUCCUUCUCUAUCUUUUCUUCUCCAGGCUCAUUCACAUGAGCCAAGUUGUUGUUCAAUAUUGGUACUAAAGCUUACAAAGUGAUGAAGCAAGGAAGCGAAGCUUGCCUCUAAGAAGCUUUGCUACAUGACCUCAUGCUCUUGCAUUACUUGUUUCAUCAUACCCUCAAAGAACUCCAUCAUCUUAUCAUCAUCUACACUUUCUUGCUUUGAGUACUAUGAUGAUCUUUUUUGUUUUUGAUCGGUAGUCCAAACAGCACUAAAUUGUUCACCAACAAAAAAUUCAUCAUCUUUAUUGUCGUUGUCAUCAUCAUUCGAGCUUGGAGAAGAUGAGGAGUUGUUAGAGGAGAAAUUGACACCAAAUUAAACGAAGAUAAUAACUAUUGUAAGUGGUGGAGCAUGAGCAGAGCCAAAAACUGUGGCACGUUGAAAGACAUGGAUAUUAGAGCAGCCGAAGAAGACAUUAAAAGGGCAUGAGGU
rnacentral:lncRNA from 1 species